AGAUGCCAGACCUGAAUUGCCUUAUUCCAUUGGGCAGUAGGUUCUAAGAUGCCCCAACAUUAUAUUGUUUCUUUAGUCUGACUCUUUAAUUAGCUUGUCCCUCUCUUACCACUUCUCAGAGUUUAUCAUUGUGCUUAGCAGGGAGGAGCAGGGCAUGAUGAGUCUAUACCAGCUAGUUUGUUUGGACAGAAGUCCCUUAGAUUUUUAAAAAUUAGAUUGUUAGAUUCUUAGAUAUCUUUUAGCUAGCACAGAACAAGGACUUUCUCAAGGCUAUGCAAUAUCUAGACUCUUUUCUUCCUUAUUUUAUCUCUAGUUCAUCUCCAUUUCACCUAGGUUUUCUAGAGAAUCAUGAAUUCUCACUGAGGCAGAGAAUUCUGCUAUCUCUGGUCCCUAACCUGUAACCCAGCUCUAAGUUUCUUUGUUUCUUUUCAGCCCAUCAAUUGGUCCGGUUGAACAAAAGAGGCUUCUAUUCUGUUCCCCUGGGCAACUCAAAAGUCAGGCAUAGACCCAGGACAAGGGAUCUUCCCUUUCACAGUAGCCUUUGUCCUUUGAAGACAUGCACUGUUUUAAAUAGCAUCUUCUAUCACCCUUCUGAGUUCACAUUUAAGUAGAUGGAGCAUUUUUGCUCCACCUUUUGGCCAAAGACUGUGCCUUGAAGGUUGGGAUUACAUCCCCUAGUACCAAGCAGAGUGCCAAGCACCAAACAGCAUUUAUCUGUCAUAAAUGUGUGUUAAGUGCAGGAAUAAAAGGCGGGCUGUUACUAUUUCUUCCAUCGUGUGAAUGGGUUCAGCAUGACAAUAAUAGGUCUGGAGGGACUCUAAAAGGUCAAUUAGUUCAUUUUUCUGCUUCUGUCCAAGAACACAUACCAGAUAACUAGGUAGCUAGUCUGAUUUUAAGUAUAUAAAAGGAAAGAAAAUUACAGUUUCCUCUGGUAAUCCAUUCCAGUGUUUAACAACUCUCAUUGUCAGCAAGAUUUUCUUUAUAUCUAGCCUAAAGCUCCCACACUGCAUUCUUCAACUUUAGCAAGUAAAAAUGUGCAACCAGGAUUUAAAUGGUUUUUAUUUCUUUAAUUACUCUUGAGCAAGUAUUUAUAGGCCAAAUACUUUUCUAUGUGUAGUUUCAUAGGCUUUUCUUAAUCAGAAGGUAUGUGCACUUACCUGUCCUUGUCACUUAGUUCCAAACCGCCACUGCCCUGGUAUUGGCUCUUUACUGUGGUAUAUUGAUUGCAUUAAUGGUUUCAAUUUGCACCAUCUCUUUUGGUUGAGCCCUCCCACUUUAGCUCUGGGCUUAGCCAUGUGACUUGCUUUGACCAAUGGGACCACAGUCAGCUAGGUGUGAGCAAAGACUUGAAAAAUGGCUUGCAUAUCCUCUUUUCUGGUGAGAACAUGAGAACAUGCCCAGUUUAACCUGCUAGAGAGAUAAGACUAUCUGGAUGGAUAAGAUAACCUACCUGGAGAAGAACUGAGUCUUCUGAGCAAAAAUUGACACUCUCCUUAGGAAUAACUUCCUAGCUCUGGUGGCAGUCAACCUCAGGAAUAGGUUCCCCAUGCUGCUGCUUAUGAAACAGAGUAACUGAACUAUUCCAGACCUUCAAUCCCACCUACCUUUCUUGGAAAUGACACUGCUGCCACCUACUAUGAAUGGGAGACAGAAACCUGGGACAGAUUCCCCAGGUCUCUGAUGCUGAAUGUGCCCUGGAGAGAGAUGUGGAUGCUCACAGUGGCCCAGCAUGGUUCUUGGCACUGGUGCUUGGAGGAGGCAGGGGGACUACAGAGCCUGAGGAGAUAAGUAGCAAGCUGCUGGCUUCCAAGUGGUGCAGAGUGGCUCCAAGUCUUCCUAUGUGACUCAUCACUCUUCAGAGUUUUUCCUAAAGUUCAAGGCUAAGUAGACAAAUCUUGUCCACAGAUGAACUUAUAACAGAGCUUUUAUUCUUUUACUGGGUCUCAGCUUCUCCCUAUUUAUGUCAAUCAUUCUGAUCACUAAAAUUUAUACAGUAUUGCUGCAUAUGAUUUUGUUUCAUUUUCCUGUAAAUGUAGAAAGUGAUUAAAACAAGACUCAUCCUGUAGUACUUGAAUUCAAGCAAUAAAGGCUCAUGGCAACAACAGCAGAGUAAGCAUCAAUGAUUCACACCGUGAGAUGAAGGGAGCUU